rnacentral:lncRNA from 1 species
AUAGAAAACAAGGCCUCGUGAAUCUUCUUCUCCUUCUUUCCUUUGUUUUCCAAAAACAAAACUAAAACCAUAAAACACAAAUUCUCAUUUAUUUACUAGAUCUAAGCUUCCAUUCGAGAAGUGACAGAAGAGAAAGUUGCUCAUUGUCACGCUACAGUGCUAGUGAUCUAGUUAUCGACGCGACGUCACGAACUUAAAUUUUACCGGAAUUAAUUACGGUACCGUAUUCGCGUGUUAGAGCUAACGUUAAGGUAAAGGCUCCUUCCAAACUUUUAGUUUGCAUUUAGGAAAUUAUUUGUGAUUUUGUGGAAAAGAAAUUUGAUGUGUAGAUUUGUAGAAAAUGAAUUUAAUGUGAUUUAUAUGUGUAGUGAUUAAAUUUGAUGUGUUUGAGUAACGUAAAGAGUUAUUUUCAAAUAAAUGAGUUUGAACUGAAGUUGAAAUUUUAUGAAAAAUUUAGAGUUAUUAAAGUUGUGAAAAACUUCAAAUUUUAACUAAGUUAAAGAGUUUGAGCAAAAAGAUAGAUUGAAAUUAACAACGGUUAGAGUUUAAAAUGUUACUCUUUUAAUUACUCUUGAACUGAGUUUAAAAAGAAAAAAAAAUUAGAGUAUUAUAUUAACUCAAAAAUUUCGGUGCUUUAAUAGUCGAGUAUGUGAAUGUGAAAUUUGGACAAUAUUCGUUUUAUUUAGUUUAAGUAAAUAAUAUAGAUUAUUUGAUUUUAAAAGUUUGGUGUGUGAGAAAUAUUUAAUUUUAGGAAUUUUGUUGUGUUUGGAUUAGUUUUAUUGUGAACAAAUUGUUAUAAAUAUUCAUGUUUAUGUUGUUAGCUCCUUGAGUCUCGAAAAUGAAUCGAGACCGUUGGCAUCAAGUUAGCGGUGGGGAGAACUCUGAUAUAUUAAUGUGGUUUGUGGUGAUUUACGGUUGGUGUGAUUUAUGUGUUCAUAACGAUUAUUAUGAAUUUUUUUGGAGAUGUGAUUUAUAUGAGUUUAGAAAAAUUAGGAAUAGUGAUAUUAUUGGAGUAAUUCAAAUUGUAUGAUUGAUUAAGGAGUCCCAAGUAUGAUUUCAAGGCUCUGCCAUAAGUUUCAAAUGUCUACAUGUUAUAAGAUUGAAAACCAAUUAGUUAUAUUAAACUUUCGUAGUGUUUGAUGCUUUCUCUAUAGAAUAGAAAUAUUGAAUUUUGUGUUGGCCUAUCAAAUUAAGUGUUUGAUGCUUUCUAUAAUACUUUGUGUUGAAAAUCAAUUAAGUGUUUGAUGCUUGAAGCAAAUAGAAAUAUUAAAUGUACAACUUUGUUGCAUUUUUGGUGCAUUUGCUGAAUUUUUGGGGCAUUUGUUGUACUACUGUGUUGACCAAUUUGUUGUUUUUUGUGUGUGUUGGAAACGAUAUACUUUCUUGACUUCACCAUUUUAGCUAAUAGCGAUUUCUUUGUUUGAUUUAUUAUAGCAGCACUGCACACAUACAUAUUUUAGUCAUUAACAUAAUUAAAGUUGAUUCUUUUGCAGAUUGAAUAUGGGUGAUUAAUGUUUGAAAAUUAUAGUGACUCAUGUUUGGUGAAAUUGAGGUGUUCAUAAUUAAUAUUAUGAAUUUUUUAGAAAAAAAUUAUGUGUGGAUUGAUGGAAAAAAGAAUUUAAUUCAAUUUAUGUGUGGUUUGGUAGAAAAUGAAUUUAGUUCAAUUUAUGUGUGGAUUGAAUUUAGAAAUGUGAUUUAUGUGUGUUUGUGGAAAUUAAAAUUGGUGUGAAUAAAUAUGUUUGAGUAUGCUCUGUGUUGUAUUUGAAAAAUCAUUAGUGUUAAAUGAGUAUUAAAAAUGGGGAAUCUUUUAAUAGCUGCAUUUACUUAAUGAUUAUGGUGAAAAGAGUUAGAGUAUGCUCAUGCAUUUCAUAGUACAUGGUGAUCGCGAUGGGGCCAUGGUGAUAGUGGUGACCAUGAUGGGCCACGGGAUGAUGCCAUGUGAAUUGUUGGUUCAUCUUAUCCUUGCGGGGAUUGUCGCGUCGUGCUGAUCUGUGAGAGAUUGCACUCUAGAAUGUGUUGAUCUGUGAGCGAUUGCACUGUAGAAAAUCGUGCUGGUCUGUGAGCGACUGCACUCUUGUAUGUCGUGCUGGUCUGUGAGAGACUGGACACUAGUAAAUUGUGCUGGUCUGUGAGCGACUGCACUCUUGUAUGUCGUGUUGGUCUGUGAGAGAUUGCACACUAGUAAAUCGUGCUGAUCCGUGAGAGAUUGCACCUUGGUAAUUAGUACUAGUCUGUGAGAGGCUGUACAAUUAUGAUUUGCGCCCUUCGAGGAGGGUUUUGGUUUGGAAUUCUGGAAUCAUGCAUUUUGGCAUAUACGCAUUGCAUUAGGGUGCUUGGCACGCGAGUCAUGUUUGUUAUACUUUGAUAAUUGUAUAUACAUAUUCGAUUGUUGUUGUCAAAACUUCAUUUUUCAACAUUGUUUAUGCAUUUUUGGACAUAUGAAAACCCUUUUGAGUAGUAUGCUAAGACGAAAGGUUCUUUUGAGCAUUUGAAAAUAUAAGAAUUUUGCUAAGUGUUAUCUGUUAAUUUCGAUUGGUGACCCUUUACUCUCAGAUGAGAACCAGGAUCUUCCCACCGGUUAGUAUCCUGUAGAUGGGGAAGUAGUUGGACACACCUAACUGAAGCUGUGUCAGGAGGAUCUUGCAGGGCGCGUGGAGAUCACUCAGGUCGUAUAGUUUUUGUAGUAUGAUCAGAUUAGACGGUUAGGG